UACGAAGGGGGCUAGCGUUGUUCGGAAUUACUGGGCGUAAAGCGCGUGUAGGCGGGUCCUUAAGUCAGGGGUGAAAUCCCGGGGCUCAACCCCGGAACUGCCUUUGAUACUGGGUAUCUCGAGUCCGGAAGAGGUGAGUGGAAUUCCGAGUGUAGAGGUGAAAUUCGUAGAUAUUCGGAGGAACACCAGUGGCGAAGGCGGCUCACUGGUCCGGUACUGACGCUGAGGUGCGAAAGCGUGGGGAGCAAACAGG
rnacentral:rRNA from 1 species